rnacentral:rRNA from 1 species
UACGAAGGGGGCUAGCGUUGUUCGGAAUUACUGGGCGUAAAGCGCACGUAGGCGGACAUUUAAGUCAGGGGUGAAAUCCCAGAGCUCAACUCUGGAACUGCCUUUGAUACUGGGUGUCUUGAGUAUGGAAGAGGUGAGUGGAAUUCCGAGUGUAGAGGUGAAAUGCGUAGAUAUCUGGAGGAACACCCGUGGUGCAGACGGCUUGCUGGACCCGUGACUGACGCUGAGGCACGAAAGCGUGGGUAGCAAACAGG